rnacentral:rRNA from 1 species
ACGAACGCUGGCGGCGUGCUUAACACAUGCAAGUCGAACGGAAAGGCCCUGCUUUUGUGGGGUGCUCGAGUGGCGAACGGGUGAGUAACACGUGAGUAACCUGCCCUUGACUUUGGGAUAACUUCAGGAAACUGGGGCUAAUACCGGAUAGGAACUCCUGCUGCAUGGUGGGGGUUGGAAAGUUUCGGCGGUUGGGGAUGGACUCGCGGCUUAUCAGCUUGUUGGUGGGGUAGUGGCUUACCAAGGCUUUGACGGGUAGCCGGCCUGAGAGGGUGACCGGCCACAUUGGGACUGAGAGACGGCCCAGACUCCUACGGGAGGCAGCAGUGGGGAAUAUUGCACAAUGGGCGGAAGCCUGAUGCAGCAACGCCGCGUGCGGGAUGACGGCCUUCGGGUUGUAAACCGCUUGCGCCUGUGACGAAGCGUGAGUGACGGUAAUGGGUAAAGAAGCACCGGCUAACUACGUG